AUGGGCGGGCGCGGAGCUGAGCUGCUCGGAGGGGAGAGGGUGAAUAAAGGAGGGCUGUUGUUCCAGAGCUGUGGUCGUGUGGUUCUUUUCCCCUUCCUUUGCCUCUUCCUUUUUUUCCCUUUCUUUAUUUCCUUCCUUUUCUUCCUUUUCUCCUCUUCCUUCCUCUUCCUUCUUCCCUUCUUCCUUUUUUCCUCUUCCUUUUCUCUUCCUCCUUUUCCCCUCUUCCUUUUCUCCUCUUCCUUUUUCCCUUCCUUCUCCCCUCUUCAUUCUCUGUUCUUCCUUCUUCUCUCUUCCUUCUUCCCUUCUUCCUUUUCUCCUCUUCCUUUUCUCCUCUUCCUUCUUCCUUUCCUUCUCCCCUCUUCAUUCUCUGUUCUUCCUUUUCUCUUCUUCCUUCUUCCCUUCUUCCUUUCCUUCCCUUCCUUUUCUCCCUUUCCUUCUCUCCCCUUCCUUCUCUCCCCUUCCUUCUUCCCUUCCUUUUCCCUUCUUCCUUCUUCCCUUCUUCCUUUUCUCCUUCCUUUUCUCCUUCCUUUUCUCCUUCCUUUUCUCCUUCCUUUUCUCCUCUCCCUUCUUCCCUUCCUUUUCCCUUCUUCCUUCUUCCCUUCUUCCUUUUCUCCUUCCUUUUCUCCUCUCUCUUCUCCCCUUUCUUUUCUCCUCUUCCUUUUCCCCUCUUCCUUCUUCCUUUUCUCCUCUUCCUUCUUCCCUUCUUCCUUUUCUCCUUCCUUUUCUCCUUCCUUUUCUCUUUCCUUUUCUCCUCUUCCUUUUCUCCUCUUCCUUUUCUCCUCUUUCUUCUUCCCUUCCUUCUUCCCUUCCUUCUUCCCUUCCUUCUCUCCCCUUCCUUUUCUCCCCUUCCUUCUCCCCGUUUCCUCCUCAUUACCUCUCCUUUCCCUUUUCCCUCAUCUCCCUUCUCCCCUUCACUCCUUUCCUCUCCUUUCCUCGCCUUUCCUCGCCUUUCCUCUCCUCUCCUUUCCUCUCCUCUCCUUUCUUCUCCUCUCCUUACCUCUCCUCUCCUCACCUCUCCUUUCCUCUCCCCUCCUUUCCUCUCCUUUUCUCUCCUCUCCUUUCCAAUCCUCUCCUCUCCUUUCCUCCCCUCUCCUUUCCUCUCUUCUCCUCUCCUCUCUCCUCUCCUCUUCUCCUUUCCCUUCCUUCUCUUUUUCCUUCCCUUUAUCCUUCCCUUCUUCCUCUCCUCUCCUCUCCUCUCCUCCCUUCCUUCUCCCCUUCCUUUACCUUCUUCCCUUCCUUCCUUUCUUCUUCCUUUUCUUUUUCCCUUCCUUUUUUCCUUGUUUUUCCUUCCUUUUUUCCUUGUUUUUCCUUCCUUUUUUUCUUUCCUUUUUCCCCUUUCCUUUCCCCCCUUCCUUUUCCCUCCCUUUUCCCUUCUUUUUUCCCCAUUUUUCCUUUUCCCCUUCAUUUUUCCCUCUUUUUUUCCUUUUUUCCCCCUAUUUCCCAUUUUUCCCCUUUCUCCCCACACCUUUUCUCCCUUUUUCCCCUUCCCCUCUUUUUCCCUUUUCCUCCCCCCCCAAUUCGCAUUCCACA
rnacentral:lncRNA from 1 species